rnacentral:rRNA from 1 species
GCCAGACUCCUACGGGAGGCAGCAGUGGGGAAUAUUGCACAGUGGGGGGAACCCUGAUGCAGCGACGCCGCGUGGGUGAAGGAGCGUUUCGGCGCGUAAAACCCUAUCGGCAGGGAAGAAGGAGGACGGUACCUGACUAAGAAGCCCCGGCUAACUACGUGCCAGCAGCCGCGGUAAUACGUAGGGGGCAAGCGUUAUCCGGAUUUACUGGGUGUAAAGGGGGCGCAGACGGCAGCGCAAGCCAGGAGUGAAAGCCCGGGGCCCAACCCCGGGACUGCUCUUGGAACUGCGCGGCUGGAGUGCAGGAGGGGCAGGCGGAAUUCCUGGUGUAGCGGUGAAAUGCGUAGAUAUCAGGAGGAACACCGGUGGCGAAGGCGGCCUGCUGGACUGCGACUGACGUUGAGGCCCGAAAGCGUGGGGAGCAAACAGGAUUAGAUACCCCGGUA